AACGAGGCCGACCUGCGGCUGAGUUACCUGCGGAGGGAUCAUUACCGAGUUUACAACUCCCAAACCCCUGUGAACAUACCACUCGUUGCCUCGGCGGAUCACCGCGCCCCGUGAAACGGGCCGGCCCGCCAGAGGACCUAAACUCAAUGUUUUAUUGUAUCUUCUGAGUAAAAACACAAAUAAAUCAAAACUUUCAGCAAUGGAUCU
rnacentral:misc_RNA from 1 species